CCAUUCAAUCCCCAGCGUCCUUCUUCAGCAUGAUCUGGUUCUCCCCUGGAUGACCUAGCUGGAGAUGCUGCUAUGGCCAUGUGAGCCCUGGCUAGCUAUUCCUAUUGGUGGGGCGUCCUGCUCCUCUGGGGCCUGGGACCAACACUACUCUUUUUAACCCCUACCUUUAGUGUUUCAAGUAAGUAUGGAUCCCAAGACGGAAGAGUGGUUAGGACUAGGCAAUGGGGGCAAGGUGACUUGCCCAGGGUCACACAGCUAGGGCCAACAUUAUUUUUGCUGUCUCCCCCAGCUUGCCUCAGGUCCAAGGCACCACCUGCUAAGCUCACACUCUUGGGAUCUGGCCUGUCCCCAGGUCUACAGUUGGUAUAAACUAGAUAAAUGGUAGCUAGUGUUAGUGUUGUUCUUGGGGGACAGAUUUUCCCUGUGGGCUUUAAGCCUUGCCUCCUUCCUCUCUUGGCUUUCUCUGGGAUUUUGAGCCUUUUACUAGAAAGGCCUAUUCCCUAGUAUUGCCUAACUGGGUCUCAAAUUCACCCUGCUGACCUCAGGCCCUCCCAUAGUGCUUUUCUGUGGACAGACAUCCUUCUGUUGUGUCAACCUUAGAGUGGGAAUGCGAGCUGUUGUAAUAAAAAUGAUUUUUGGUCUCAGAAAAUUUCUCCCUUGUGACAAGCAUUGCCCCUCCCUAAAUCUCUCCUCUCCUGUUUGUAUGCCUAAGAAUACUCUCAAUUCAAUCUCAGCCAACUAGUAUUUGAGUGUAAAUGCAAGGCACUCUGACCCAUUCCCAUGAUCAGAUCUGCCCUGGGCAGUUCUGGGCAGUCUGGGUCUGUUCUUUGGUCUGUUCCUGUGGUCAGGUCUAUCUUGGUUGGUUAAUGGGCAGUUAGUGUUAGAGGUUAGUAGCCAGGUUUCCUUCUAGUGUCUAUUACCCACUCCCACAAAUCUCCCUACCAUAUGUCUAGUGUCUCAGCUAAUGUGCUCCGAUUCUUCAGACUCUCUAUGGUUUACCCACAUGCUCUCUUACUUGCCUUAAACCUAAAGAGACUUCUUUCUCUUCUGAGGCCGGCAGCUCUCCUUGGUCCUCCUCUUGAUUUCUUUUCCUGUCAGCUGACAUCCUCUGUUCAUCUUCCUAGUUCCAACAGCUGCUCCACCUUUCCCCUUCUUUGUUUGCAGGGGAAGUUCUUCUGCUUCUCAGAAACCAUCUGGAGAGGUGUCCACUCCCUACCCAUUACCCCUCAUUCUUCUAAAACAGGAUUUCUCAACCCUCAUUGAGUCAAAAGUGCAAUUAAGGACCUUGAAGGGAGAGGAGAUCUGUCUCUAUACCCUCCAAGGGUCUUGGAGAUCCCAACAGGAGAGAGUCUCAGUAACUGCAUGCACUGUGUGCCUCUAAGGGUUAUUUGUCACAACUGAUGAUUGCUUUCUUGUUCUCUAGAUAAUCAUCAGAAGCUCUAGGCACUUUGCUCUGGGACCCAGUGAGCUCAGGAUGAUCCAGAAUUUCAUCAUAUCAGUGUCUAACUAGCAGGGACUAGUUUUGGCCACUCACUCCCCUUCCCAGUUUGUGAAUCACAGGGAAGUCCAUUCUGCUGUUGCUCCUAGAAAGGCUCAUUUCACAGAUGAAGGAACUGAGGCAAACAGAGUUGAGUAAAUUAUUUGUCUAGAGUCACAUAGCCAAUGUUUCGGAAAUCAUCCUGCUCAUCAUUUCCUAAGGCACGACAUAUUCCAUCACAAUCCUCGAAGCACAAUGUGUUCAACCAUUCCCCAGUUGAUGGGCAUCUCCUCGAUUUCCACUUUUUUGUUACCACAGAAAGGAUUAGAAUAAAUUAGAAUAAAUCUUUGUGUACAUAGAUAUCUUUCUUCCUUCUUCUCGGUCUCUUUGGGAUACAAACCUAGUAGUGGUAUUGCAGUCAGGCUCUUUUUUUUUUUUUCAAAUUCUUGUGUUCAUUAAACUCACACCCUGGUAUGUUGGGAAAGAUGUACUUAAAGCUUAGGUUUUAUCUCAUGUCCAUGGUCUUCCCAGAGUCUAGAGAGGUACUGUGGUACAUGGUACAAUGUCAAUGAGAUAGAGAGCAGGUAUUUAUUUCCUACACACAAAACAAAUGCUUAACAUAAAAGGGUGUCAAAAGUAUACACUGUCAGAGAAGGAUAAAUACACUUAAAAUAGAAGUAGUAACUAUUGUUAUAAUCUGCUGGAAGGUUGAGUAAAAUCACCAAAAUAAAAAUCAUUUGCCAGGACUGAUGAAUACAUACUUAUUGUUUCACCCUGGUUCUGUACUUUCUUCCUCAUGGUAUAUGUCCAUUGAAAAGCCAGCCCAGAGAUUAGAUUCAUUUACCAGACCGAGACUAGUUUUUCUUUCUUUCUUUCUUUCUUUCUUUCUUUCUUUCUUUCUUUCUUUCUUUCUUUCUUUCUUUCUUUCUUUCUUUCUUUCUUUCUUUCUU